UGGUCAGCUCCUUCAAGGUCCUAUACAAUAUAGUCCUGACAACAUUGAAAUAUUAAAUGUCAAGCAACCUAUUUAAUGCAGGUUUUAUGGGCUAAGUGAGAUAAGGAAGAAUGAUGAAGUGCAUAGGAGUUUUUCUCUCGAGUUUGGUAUGGAGCCAUGGAUAGAGAAUUCUCAAAUAAUUUUGAGCCAUGGAUAGAGAAUUCUCCGAGACGCUAGACACGCCACCGCAUCGUCUGCGCCGCGAGAUCGAGAAUGUCCAUCUCUAUGCGGCUCGCGAUCCCUGCUCCUGCCGUCACCGACGCCGCGCCGACACGGCUGAGGGUGCGAGUGGCAGCGACGGGGAACGACGGCUCUCUCCCCGUCGCGCGCGCCGCCGUGCAGGCGGAGACGGGCGCGCUCAGGUGAGGCUGAGGCCGAGGGCGCGACGGCUGUGCGUUCUCGGCGAAACUAAACCUGCAACUUUCAUGGGACCAUUGAUCAGACGCGCAUUUCUGCAGGGGAUGCGCCUCGCUGCCAUCGAAGCCGCUGGGAGCGGCCCAGCCGUGCCGGAGCAGGGGGGCGCCGUCGUGUGUCACUCGUCGGCGCACCUCAGCGUGCGCACCAUCCAGUGGAUCUCCGCCGGAACCAUCGCAGUGCUAUUAGUUGCUAAAGGCACUGCCAUACACAAAUCUUUCCUUGUGCCAUUUUUUGCUCUUCAGACACCUUGCUGCAUAAUCUCAUGGAUCAAGGGUGACUAUGGUCAGUGGACUGCUUUUCUUUCUCUGUUGGUGCGUCUAUUCUUCUUCAUUCCAGGUGAACUGGAGCUUCCACUGUCAACAAUGCUGCUUGUGAGUGUUGCUCCUUACCAAUUCAUGGAUCUGAGGGGAACUCAAGGUGGUGUCGUAAUGUCACUGGUCAUAGCUGCGUAUCUCGCCUUCCAGCACUUCACUAGGGUGGGCGGCCCAGGCAAAGCCUUCGAGCAAGGAUCCAUUGUUGCGACCUUGGCCAUCAUUUGCAUCAUGAUUGUGCCCUUGAUGUUGCUAUUCUGAUUUGCAAUGAGUUGGAAUGAAUUUGCUUCUCAUUAUGUGCAUAUAUAAGGACAAAUAAAUUUAACCUUGUAAUACAGCAUUCGAGUUCUCUUUCCCAAAACGUAUGCACUGAUAUAUCCUUCCCUGUUAGUGCUCUUC